AGUGAACGCUGGCGGUAGGCCUAACACAUGCAAGUCGAACGGCAGCACGGUAAGAGCUUGCUCUUACGGGUGGCGAGUGGCGGACGGGUGAGGAAUACAUCGGAAUCUACUUUUUCGUGGGGGAUAACGUAGGGAAACUUACGCUAAUACCGCAUACGACCUACGGGUGAAAGCAGGGGAUCUUCGGACCUUGCGCGAUUGAAUGAGCCGAUGUCGGAUUAGCUAGUUGGCGGGGUAAAGGCCCACCAAGGCGACGAUCCGUAGCUGGUCUGAGAGGAUGAGAGGCAGGAAGGGAAGUGGAACGGGGAACAGGGUCCUGAGGGAGGCAGCAGUGGGGAGUGGGGGACAAUGGGCGCGAGUCUGAUCCAACCAUAGCGCGUGGGAGAAAAAGACGUGGGGGGUGUCAAGCCGUUUUGUUGGUAAAAAAAAGAAGCAGGCUGAUACCCCGCGUGAGUGACGGGACCGGAAGAAUAAGCACCGGCUAACUUCGUG
rnacentral:rRNA from 1 species